rnacentral:rRNA from 1 species
AAAUUGAAGAGUUUGAUCAUGGCUCAGAUUGAACGCUGGCGGCAGGCCUAACACAUGCAAGUCGAGCGGUAGCACAGAGAGCUUGCUCUCGGGUGACGAGCGGCGGACGGGUGAGUAAUGUCUGGGAAACUGCCUGAUGGAGGGGGAUAACUACUGGAAACGGUAGCUAAUACCGCAUAACGUCGCAAGACCAAAGUGGGGGACCUUCGGGCCUCAUGCCAUCAGAUGUGCCCAGAUGGGAUUAGCUAGUAGGUGGGGUAACGGCUCACCUAGGCGACGAUCCCUAGCUGGUCUGAGAGGAUGACCAGCCACACUGGAACUGAGACACGGUCCAGACUCCUACGGGAGGCAGCAGUGGGGAAUAUUGCACAAUGGGCGCAAGCCUGAUGCAGCCAUGCCGCGUGUGUGAAGAAGGCCUUCGGGUUGUAAAGCACUUUCAGCGGGGAGGAAGGCGGUGAGGUUAAUAACCUCAUCGAUUGACGUUACCCGCAGAAGAAGCACCGGCUAACUCCGUGCCAGCAGCCGCGGUAAUACGGAGGGUGCAAGCGUUAAUCGGAAUUACUGGGCGUAAAGCGCACGCAGGCGGUCUGUCAAGUCGGAUGUGAAAUCCCCGGGCUCAACCUGGGAACUGCAUUCGAAACUGGCAGGCUAGAGUCUUGUAGAGGGGGUAGAAUUCCAGGUGUAGCGGUGAAAUGCGUAGAGAUCUGGAGGAAUACCGGUGGCGAAGGCGGCCCCCUGGACAAAGACUGACGCUCAGGUGCGAAAGCGUGGGGAGCAAACAGGAUUAGAUACCCUGGUAGUCCACGCCGUAAACGAUGUCGAUUUGGAGGUUGUGCCCUUGAGGCGUGGCUUCCGGAGCUAACGCGUUAAAUCGACCGCCUGGGGAGUACGGCCGCAAGGUUAAAACUCAAAUGAAUUGACGGGGGCCCGCACAAGCGGUGGAGCAUGUGGUUUAAUUCGAUGCAACGCGAAGAACCUUACCUGGUCUUGACAUCCACAGAACUUUCCAGAGAUGGAUUGGUGCCUUCGGGAACUGUGAGACAGGUGCUGCAUGGCUGUCGUCAGCUCGUGUUGUGAAAUGUUGGGUUAAGUCCCGCAACGAGCGCAACCCUUAUCCUUUGUUGCCAGCGGUCCGGCCGGGAACUCAAAGGAGACUGCCAGUGAUAAACUGGAGGAAGGUGGGGAUGACGUCAAGUCAUCAUGGCCCUUACGACCAGGGCUACACACGUGCUACAAUGGCAUAUACAAAGAGAAGCGACCUCGCGAGAGCAAGCGGACCUCAUAAAGUAUGUCGUAGUCCGGAUUGGAGUCUGCAACUCGACUCCAUGAAGUCGGAAUCGCUAGUAAUCGUAGAUCAGAAUGCUACGGUGAAUACGUUCCCGGGCCUUGUACACACCGCCCGUCACACCAUGGGAGUGGGUUGCAAAAGAAGUAGGUAGCUUAACCUUCGGGAGGGCGCUUACCACUUUGUGAUUCAUGACUGGGGUGAAGUCGUAACAAGGUAACCGUAGGGGAACCUGCGGUUGGAUCACCUCCUUACCUUAAAGAA